ensembl:misc_RNA Metazoa_SRP Metazoan signal recognition particle RNA
GCUGGGCAUGGUGGCGCGUGCCUGUAGUCCCAGCUACUCGGGGGGCUGAGGCAGAAGAAUCGCUUGAACCCAGGAGGUGGAGGUUGCAGUGAGCCGAGAUCACGCCACUGCACUCCAGCCUGGGUGACAGAGCAAGACUCUGUCUUAA